GAAACGACUGCUAAGACUGGAUAGGAAACAAAAAGGCAUCUUUUUGUUUUUAAAAGACCUUCUUACGAAGGUAUGCUUAAAGAGGGGCUUGCGCCACAUUAGUUAGUUGGUAGGGUAAAAGCCUACCAAGACGAUGAUGUGUAGCUGGACUGAGAGGUUGAACAGCCACAUUGGGACUGAGACACGGCCCAAACUCCUACGGGAGGCAGCAGUAGGGAAUUUUCGGCAAUGGAGGAAACUCUGACCGAGCAACGCCGCGUGAACGAUGAAGUAUUUCGGUAUGUAAAGUUCUUUUAUUGAAGAAGAAAAAGUAGUGGAAAAACUAUAUUGACGUUAUUCAAUGAAUAAGCCCCGGCUAACUAUGUGCCAGCAGCCGCGGUAAGACAUAGGGGGCGAGCGUUAUCCGGAAUUAUUGGGCGUAAAGGGUGCGUAGGCUGUUAGAUAAGUCUAUAAUUUAAUUUCAGUGCUUAACGCUGUCUUGUUAUAGAAACUGUCUUGACUAGAGUGAGAUAGAGGCAAGCGGAAUUCCAUGUGUAGCGGUAAAAUGUGUAAAUAUAUGGAGGAACACCAGAAGCGUAGGCGGCUUGCUGGGUCUUUACUGACGCUGAGGCACGAAAGCGUGGGUAGCAAACAGGAUUAGAUACCCUGGUAGUCCACGCCGUAAACGAUGAGUACUAAGUGUCGGGGUAAAACUCGGUACUGAAGUUAACACAUUAAGUACUCCGCCUGAGUAGUACGUACGCAAGUAUGAAACUUAAAGGAAUUGACGGGACUCCGCACAAGCGGUGGAUCAUGUUGUUUAAUUCGAAGAUACACGAAAAAUCUUACCAGGUCUUGACAUACUCUGCAAAGCUAUAGAAAUAUAGUGGAGGUUAUCAGGGAUACAGGUGGUGCAUGGUUGUCGUCAGUUCGUGUCGUGAGAUGUUAGGUUAAGUCCUAAAACGAGCGCAACCCUUGUCGUUAAUUGCCAGCACGUAAUGGUGGGGACUUUAGCGAGACUGCCAAUUAAACAUUGGAGGAAGGUGAGGAUUACGUCAAAUCAUCAUGCCCCUUAUGAUCUGGGCUACAAACGUGAUACAAUGGCUGUGACAAAGAGUAGCUGAAACGCGAGUUUUUAGCCAAUCUCAAAAAAGCAGUCUCAGUUCGGAUUGAAGUCUGUAACUCGACUUCAUGAAGUUGGAAUCGCUAGUAAUCGCGAAUCAGCAUGUCGCGGUGAAUACGUUCUCGGGGUUUGUACACACCGCCCGUCA
rnacentral:rRNA from 1 species